rnacentral:rRNA from 1 species
UUAUACCGCGAAACUGCGAAUGGCUCAUUAUAUAAGUUAUCGUUUAUUUGAUAGUACCUUACUACUUGGAUAACCGUGGUAAUUCUAGAGCUAAUACAUGCUAAAAAUCCCGACUUCGGAAGGGAUGUAUUUAUUAGAUUAAAAGCCAAUGCCCUUCGGGGCUCUCUGGUGAUUCAUGAUAACUUCUCGAAUCGCAUGGCCUUGCGCCGGCGAUGGUUCAUUCAAAUUUCUUCCCUAUCAACUUUCGAUGUUUGGGUAUUGGCCAAACAUGGUUGCAACGGGUAACGGAGGGUUAGGGCUCGACCCCGGAGAAGGAGCCUGAGAAACGGCUACUACAUCCAAGGAAGGCAGCAGGCGCGCAAAUUACCCAAUCCCAACUCGGGGAGGUAGUGACAAUAAAUACUGAUACAGGGCUCUUUAGGGUCUUGUAAUUGGAAUGAGUACAAUUUAAAUCCCUUAACGAGGAACAAUUGGAGGGCAAGUCUGGUGCCAGCAGCCGCGGUAAUUCCAGCUCCAAUAGCGUAUAUUAAAGUUGUUGUGGUUAAAAAGCUCGUAGUUGAACCUUGGGCCUGGCUGGCCGGUCCGCCUCACCGCGUGUACUGGUCCGGCCGGGCCUUUCCCUCUGUGGAACCCCAUGCCCUUCACUGGGUGUGGCGGGGAAACAGGACUUUUACUUUGAAAAAAUUAGAGUGCUCAAGGCAGGCCUAUGCUCGAAUACAUUAGCAUGGAAUAAUAAAAUAGGACGUGCGGUUCUAUUUUGUUGGUUUCUAGGACCGCCGUAAUGAUUAAUAGGGACAGUCGGGGGCAUCAGUAUUCAAUUGUCAGAGGUGAAAUUCUUGGAUUUAUUGAAGACUAACUACUGCGAAAGCAUUUGCCAAGGAUGUUUUCAUUAAUCAGGAACGAAAGUUAGGGGAUCGAAGACGAUCAGAUACCGUCGUAGUCUUAACCAUAAACUAUGCCGACUAGGGAUCGGACGAUGUUAUUUUUUGACUCGUUCGGCACCUUACGAGAAAUCAAAGU